CAGCGCCACGAGUGGUAACCACGUUUAUUGGGCCUAAAGCGUCCGUAGCCGGUUUGAUAAAUCUUUUGUGAAAUUGUACAGCUUAACUGUACAGCGUGCAAGAGACACUGUCAAACCUGAGACCGGGAGGAGUCAGAAGUAUUCCAGAGGGAGCGGUAAAAUGUUAUAAUCUCUGGAGGACUACCUGUGGCGAAGGCGUCUGACCAGAACGGAUCUGACGGUGAGGGACGAAAGCUAGGGGAGCGAACCGGAUUAGAUACCCGAGUAGUCC
rnacentral:rRNA from 1 species